rnacentral:lncRNA from 1 species
AAUACGUUGGUACCCUUGCAUCUUCUAAACAAAUUAUCCUCAGUAUUGUAAUAAUCAUCAGCAAAGCAACUUCCCCUUACUGCUCUCUCACGUGCAUCAUCAUCAUGGUUAAGAAAACGUGCCUUUUUUCAUGGGUUUCUAACAACGGAAGUACUGAUGUGUGGAAUUAUGAGUUUGAAAAUAGAAGUAUAUCUUACCAUUUUUGCGGUUUCUCGUGCCCAUCUCGUUCUUUAUGGCAAGUAAUCCACCACUCUAAACCUCCCAUCACAUCAACAACUUAAAAGUCUUCAAGAAACACAAGACUCAAGGAGACGAAGGAGAAUUAAAUGGUUCAUCAUUCAAUUUGUACGUAGCAAAGUUAUUUGUGUCGUGCAACAUACCUUAAAAUGUUCUAGAUCAUUCCAUUUUCUCCAAGUUUAUUGAAAAAUAUACUGGAAAAACUUCUCCAGGUCGAUGGGUCGUUAACAACUUGGUUGGGGAAGUAUGUCAAGGAGUAUUGAAUAGAAUUAAAGAAUAGGUGGAAUAAAAGGAUAUUUUCGUUGCACUAGAUGAGACAAGAGAUCAACAAGGGAGGUCAAUGAUGGCAAUUUUGAUUGGUCCUUUGGACGGACAUUUCUGUGGGAGACCUUACCUUAUUGACUUAAUUGAUAUUGAGAUGCAAACAAUGUAAAGAACAUCGUCAUAAGCUCAGUUUAUAAGUUAUUUGGAGAAAUGAUGCCGCCUCGUAUUGUCUCAAAGGAGGAGAAGAUCUUCGAAAAAAAAAAUCCUGUAAUGGAUUCAUAUUACGUGUAUUGCUCAUAGAUUACAUAGAGUUGCAGAUAUGGUUCAACAAAAGUUUACUCUAUGGAACAAACUUAUUUCCAAUGUGAAGAAGACGUUUUUGAAUUCUGGAAGAAGAAAGAGAGUAUUAACUGCUUCGUAUGAAAUUCCCUCCCCCAUCACCAAUUAUAACAAGAUAAGCAACUUGGUUAAAAAGUAAUGGAGUACUACUACCAUCACUUCGACGUCUUCAGAGAAUAUUUAAACAGCAUUGAUGAAGAUUUGGUAGCAACCAGAAGAGUACAAGAAGUAAUUAAUAAUGAUUCCUUAAGAGAAGAAGUCGUAUUUAUGCAGGAAAUUUUUCGUCAAAUACCUUUAACAAUAACUGCGCUUGAGGAAAGAUGGCCUCUUCUUACCAGCCUAGCCAUAGUAGAAAAUCUGACUCAAGAUUUGAAGGAAGAUCCAUUCAAGAUCAAGUUAAAAGAAGUCCUUCAAAAGAAUCCUGGCUACACAAAACUAAAGGAACUCUCAACAAGUGAAAACCUUGUAUACAAAAAAACUCCUAUUGUGAUGCUAAUAGAGUCUUCAAUCAAUACGAAAAGGAGGUCCAAACUAAUUAAUAAGAAAUUGAGGGAAUUGUUGAUCACCAAAUGGAAUGAAUGUUUUGUUAUCAUUUAAUUGUCAGCACGUAACUAUUAACAAUAUUUUUUAAAUAAUUUGUUACCUUAUUGCCUCAUUUCUAUUCUUUAAAUUUCGUGCCAAAGUUAUCUAUUCAUCCUUUAUGGUCAGUGGUCACUAAGAAAUUACGAGUAUACUUCCUGUAAUGAUGGGUUUUAUGUUCUCUAACUAACAAUAUAUUUUGUCUUGCAUAAAUUUACAGAAUAUAUUAUACAUUUAUAAAGUGAUUUAUAGGGAAGUUAUAUAUUAAUAAUAUACAACAAUCCCUCUUCCUUCAUGUGUAAAUAAAUAAAUAAUUUAAGUUAAGGAUGUAUUCUAAACGAUACUCUUUUAAUUGGGUUGGAAUCGAUAUUUACUUUGAACUCUUGAUCCAGCGACAGAUACAAUUGCACCCAUGUCAUAGUAUGUAGCUAUUAUAUUUUUGAAGUAAUUUCCAUGGGCAUUCAAUACAUCGAUGGGUAAUUUAUUCUGUUCAAAUUUUUGAAUAGAUUUGAUGAUCGAAAUAGAGUUUUCUUUUCGACAUCUGCAUACUCUUGCAUAGUGCCCUCUCUUACCCCAUCUUGUGCAUUCGACGCUUUUUGCGUAUGAAUUUUUCCUAUUUGUGGGAUAAACUAUAAUUUUAUGAAAAAAUUUACACAAUAUUAUAUGAAGACUGUAACACAACCUAACAAUUAUAUAUUUUUUAAAAUCUGAUGUAUACGUUUAUCAAAAAAAUAUACACAAAAUAAGGGAAAAUUCUCAUGUUUUCAAAAACUUUGAACAGAGUGUGCCACAUGAAGAUGAAAUCGUAGAGUGAGGAAAUUUUAUACAACUUAUUUUCAUACCCCAAGGCAACUUUUCCACCCUAUCCGUAAUCGAUACUCGAAAAAAGAGAAAAAUUAAACCGGUCUAUUGAACAACGAAGCAUAUUUCUUCGAAAUCAAAACCCAUUAUUUUUUUCACACUCCAUCUUUGUUUAUUUUUUAAGUAUAAUAUUAAUUAUUUCAUUAGAAUAACUAUAUAUUUAACUAUUACAUACAUAAAAAUGUCAUUAAAUUAUUACAUGACAUAAUUAUUAACUAUAACAAAUCAUUACCAUCACUCAUCAAAAAAUGAAAAAAAAACCCCCAAAGAUCACGAGAGAGAUAAUCUAGAGCCAGUUUAAAAAAACAAAAAACUCAUGAUUAUAACCGAUCUAUCGAAUCCUUAAUUAUGUAUAUUGUCUCCUUGAAGAUAUUCUCGAAGAAAAAUAUGGCGACCAUCUCGAACAUUUGACUAAAGGUCCACCGUAGACAUGAUAAAGCAAAAUAUAAAGAGGAAAUCUUUCUUUGGCCUGAGGGAAAACCCUCCAAAACUGGAGACUGAAGCUGACAAGUAUUCUUUUGGCUAUCAUUUUGUCUUCUUUGAAGAUACACUCAAUACUUAGUUACUUCAAUCAAAAGUCAGGCUGUGAGCAUUUAAUUUGGUGUAUACUUAAAUAUUCCUCAUGGGGUAUAUCUCCCACAAUUAUCCAAGCUCGUGGUAAAAGCAUAUCCUCCCCAUUUUCGAGCAAAGUCCCGAUGAUUUGUCAUCUUUGAAGCCAAUUUAAAUGGAACAAUUCAACCAGGGCAAGUUAAAUUUGGAUUUGCAUAGAUACUCAUUAAAUUUGACGUAUUUUUGUAAUGAUAAACACGUUCUGUGUAAGAAUAUAAAAAUGUCAAUACA